AUGGGAGCAGAAAAGCUAGGUGUCAAGGACCUUUCUCUGCCCUGGAGUAGAGGUAGGUUUUUGUACAGCUCUGUGUCACUGUGGUUCGUCUUCGGAGGUGGGACCCAGCUGACAGUCACAGGGCAACCAGCAGCGCCUCCCACAGUGCAUCUCUUCCCUCCAUCGUCUGAUGAGUUAACGAGCAAGAGCAAAGCCACCUUGGUCUGCCUGGUGGACGACUUCACUCCAGGUGCCAUUGACGUCACCUGGUUGGCUGACGGGAGCCCAAUCACGAGUAACGUCGAGACCACCCGACCGACCAAACGCAACGACAAGUACGUGGCCAGCAGUUACCUGUCUCUGACUGCUGACAAGUACCAGGAGAAGAGUGAAUAUACCUGUAAGGUGACCCAUGACGGAAAGUCCUACCAGAAGAGCGUGCAGCGGGAGGCCUGUUCUGCUUAACCCUUCCGUGCCCACAGGGCUGUGCUGAACCCUGAGCUCCUUUGCAUCAGGAAGGAACCUAGACAUGCCCCAUGCAGUUACCCCCCUCCCUGCUGCCCCCUCCCCAUUUCCCCCUCUGUACUCCCAGUAAUUUACAAGAAGUCCCCUUAGCUUCUUAGACACCCUUGUUGGUAGGAUGAAUAAAACCAAAAACAUGCCAUUUUGCUGUCUCUGUAUAGCUUUCCUUUGGUGAUGGUGAAAAAGAAAUAUCAUUGUUAAAUGUCAUCAUGCAAUAAAUAAAACAGACAAUGUUCUGCA